rnacentral:rRNA from 1 species
AUGAGAAGAUUCUUUUUCUUCGGGUCCCCCACGCCGAAGGACGGCGAUGGCGAUGGGACGCCAGGCGGCGAUGGCAAGAGCAAGAACAGGAGUAAGAAGGCGCUGGAGGAAGGCGAGGGUAGUUGCAACUCUAGCUCCAGGUCCCAUGACCAUGGCACGAGGAUGUCUAGAUCGAGAAGCCGCCGCGGAAGGCUGAGCAACGAGGAGCCAGCCAACCCGAAGCAGCUCAGGAGGUGCAUGUCGUUCUCAUCCGCGGCUGCGAAUAAUGGUCUGAAGGAACGGAGCUUUAGCUUCUCGGGUGAUGUCCCUGGUUCUUUCUAUGACGGUUCUGAUGCGCCUCAUCACGCCGAAGAUGUCAAUCACUAUGCCUGGUCACCAGAAAGGCAUCCGGUCUUAAGAGAAUCCUCAAUAAAUGUUCCCAAACCAUGUUCAGUCCUGGAAACUGAUUCUCCUCGUUCAAGAUGCUAUUCAUGCUCAACAGGCCAUUCUCCUCCUACCUCUCCUGUUGCCUUACGAUGCAGGUCUACGAGGCUAGGCAGUUUAUUGAACAAGAAUGAAGUGCUAGACCGAUACAUUGAUGGAGAGCAGGAAGCUUCCAUCCAAAAUGAGAAGCUGAGGCAGAACUCUCCCACUAGAUCUGUGGUUUCGAAUUCAAGACGUCCGCCCCGACCCCAUUAUACAAUGCCAUCUUUGCAAAAAUCAAUGAAAGAGAACGUUGAGACCUACCCAAAUGUGGAUGCGAAGGAUGCCUAUGGAAGUAAAAACCAUGCAAGUGUUCUGGAUGAUUUUGGGAGGUUUCCACAUUUAGAAGAUUACAGAUCAGAAAGUAUUCCAUCCGUUGAAGAUAUCUAUGAGGAUUUCCAAGAUAUGCAACCUUCAAAAGUUAUUCAUGGUGCUCCCCAAUAUUUUCAUGAUCAUGACUUGGAUUUCGCCCCAGAAGGGCAAGAAACUGAUGAUAAGUUGCUUCAAAGGGCAAAAGAAGUUGAAGAGAGGUUUAUAACUCCUUCUGGAGACAAUCAUCAGCUUAACAUGUCCAGAUAUAAGCGAUUAAGCUCAAAUGAAAUGUUCCAGUUGAUUCAGUGUUUGACUGAAGACAGGAAACAGCUAGCAGAUGAAUUGUCUUCACAGAUUAAGGCACGCCUUGCAGAAAGGUUUAAUGCCAAAGAGAAGUACAAACAAUCAGUGAAAGAACUUGAGAUCAGAACUCGAAGGAUGGAGAAGGAGAAGACUGAAGUACAGAGUACUUUGGAGAGAGAGAUUGACAGAAGGUCAAACGAUUGGUCAGCCAGGCUGUUGAGAUUUCAAUCUGAAGAAGAGAGACUGCGUGAACGGGUGAGAGAACUUGCUGAGAAAAAUGUCUCAUUUCAGAGAGAACUCACUUCUCUUGAAGCAUACAAAGUUGAUGCAUCUGAUAAGGUUGCAAGUUUGGAAAUGCAAAACAUAAAACUAUCUGAUGAGCUAGAGAAACUAAAAAAUGAGCACAACAAUCUCCACAAUUCUUCAAUAGAGUUGCAUGCUCAAUUUUCUAAGGCAGCAGAGGAGAAGGAACAUAUCAGGGGAUUCUUGAAAGAUAAGGAGGGUGAUAACAAGGCAUUGCACCAAGUGGUUGCAAGGCUACAGACAAUAUGCAAUGAACAAGAAAAAACAAUUGCUGGCUUGAGACAGGGAUUCAGUGCUGAAUUGGAUAAGGAAUCUGUUCGGUCCAGCAGCGAGAGAAAGAAUAGGAUGCAGAUGGAACUCAUCAGGUUGUCAGGGGUGGAGCAGAAGUUGAGAGGUGAAGUUCAAUCUUGUCGUCUUGAAGUAGAAUCUCUUAGGCAAGAGAACAUUGCACUCUUAAAUCGUCUACAAACCACUGAAAAUGGAUCAAGCUUUUCCUCAAUUCGUCUUGGCCAGGAGCUUCAGGCCAAAGUGGACAACUUGCAGAACAAAGGCUUGUCGUUGCUUGAUAAGAGUAGCCAACUUUGCACCAAAUUGUUGGACCUCGUGAAAUGCAGGAGGCAUGAAAGUGAACAUGACAGAGAUAUUGAUGCAUUAGAUUACACACUGGAGCUCCAGAGCAUCAAAGGAGGAAUCGAGAAUCUGAAACGAAGCUUGCGGGCAACCAGUGCUGUGCUCGUUGAAAAGCAGAAUUUGAAAGAAAAAUCUGGAGAGGCUGCGGUUGGAGGUAGUCCUUUCAUGGAGCAAACGGAUGAGGUUAAUUUUGAGUUCAAACUGAAAGAGGAGGCUCUUCUGAAUAAAGUACUGAAGGAGGCACUUUUGUCAAAGGAACUUGACAUUGAACAGUUGCGGUCAGAUGUGGCAUCUUUGCUUCGUAUCCAAGAUGUCAUGAGGAAUGAGGUCCAGAGAGUCCAAGAUGAACUAUCCUGCAUCACCCACAAGGCUAAACAUUUGGAGCUUCAGGGUUCGAAGAAAGACGAGUCCAUUGACCAGAUCCAGCAGGAUUUCCAAGAAUCCGCCAAGGAGCUAAGCGCGCUCAGAGGACAGCUGAAAAUCGUGACCGACGAAAGGGACCUGUCGUGGCAGGAAGCGAAGCAGCUCCGCAAAACCACCAGCAUGAUGCAGAACGAGGUCGCGUCGCUGAAGAACAGGAUCGAGUCCCUCGAAGAGGACAUCCUUGUCAAGGAGGGGCAGAUCUCGAUCCUACAGGACAACGUCUACAAGCCGCCGCUCGACUUCAUCUGCAGCCCCAGGACGAUGAAGCAGUUCGGCAUGGAAUGA